rnacentral:rRNA from 1 species
CUAUGGCCAAUUGAUGCCCGUAGAGUCCUAGCGAUCCCGAUCCCUAUGCAUAAUAUGUCGGAUUUUAUUGCUUGGAGCUAUACAACAAACGGUUUAUUCACUGUACGAUCAGCUUAUGUGGAGGAAUGGAAUAAGCAACAUGGGAGGAAGUUGGAAUGCUCGAAUGGCAUGGGUAGAAGUAAGGUCAAUCCUAUUUGGGGUAAGAUCUGAAAAUUAGCUUGUCCGGCGAAGGUUAAUUUUUUUAUUUGGCGGACGCUUCACGAAACUCUGCCGUGUCGUGUUACAUUGGCCAACAGACAUAUAAAAACUCCACCAAUAUGCCAAGCAUGUUUGGACGGGUCAGAGGACACGAAACAUAUAUUAUUUCUGUGUCAGAAGGCAAAAGAAGUGUGGGAACAUUUGGGAUUGUAUGAAGUGGUAAAAAAAGCCUGCAUCUUUGAUCGUGCAGGAGAGGCAGUCCUUGAAUCCCUACUCCUUAUGCCUGAUCGUGAACUACCCAUCUUGGGCUCCCGGAAUGCAGGGGAACUUAUUGCUAUAGCUGCUUGGUAUUUAUGGUGGAAUAGACGGAAACUAGUCCAUUAG